rnacentral:rRNA from 1 species
UUUAUGGAGAGUUUGAUCCUGGCUCAGAGUGAACGCUGGCGGCGUGCCUAAUACAUGCAAGUCGAACGAUGAAGCUUCUAGCUUGCUAGAAUGCUGAUUAGUGGCGCACGGGUGAGUAACGCAUAGGUUAUGUGCCUCUUAGUUUGGGAUAGCCAUUGGAAACGAUGAUUAAUACCAGAUACUCCCUACGGGGGAAAGAUUUAUCGCUAAGAGAUCAGCCUAUGUCCUAUCAGCUUGUUGGUAAGGUAAUGGCUUACCAAGGCUAUGACGGGUAUCCGGCCUGAGAGGGUGAACGGACACACUGGAACUGAGACACGGUCCAGACUCCUACGGGAGGCAGCAGUAGGGAAUAUUGCUCAAUGGGGGAAACCCUGAAGCAGCAACGCCGCGUGGAGGAUGAAGGUUUUAGGAUUGUAAACUCCUUUUGUUAGAGAAGAUAAUGACGGUAUCUAACGAAUAAGCACCGGCUAACUCCGUGCCAGCAGCCGCGGUAAUACGGAGGGUGCAAGCGUUACUCGGAAUCACUGGGCGUAAAGAGCGCGUAGGCGGGAUAGUCAGUCAGGUGUGAAAUCCUAUGGCUUAACCAUAGAACUGCAUUUGAAACUACUAUUCUAGAGUGUGGGAGAGGUAGGUGGAAUUCUUGGUGUAGGGGUAAAAUCCGUAGAGAUCAAGAGGAAUACUCAUUGCGAAGGCGACCUGCUGGAACAUUACUGACGCUGAUUGCGCGAAAGCGUGGGGAGCAAACAGGAUUAGAUACCCUGGUAGUCCACGCCCUAAACGAUGGAUGCUAGUUGUUGGAGGGCUUAGUCUCUCCAGUAAUGCAGCUAACGCAUUAAGCAUCCCGCCUGGGGAGUACGGUCGCAAGAUUAAAACUCAAAGGAAUAGACGGGGACCCGCACAAGCGGUGGAGCAUGUGGUUUAAUUCGAAGAUACACGAAGAACCUUACCUAGGCUUGACAUUGAGAGAAUCCGCUAGAAAUAGUGGAGUGUCUGGCUUGCCAGACCUUGAAAACAGGUGCUGCACGGCUGUCGUCAGCUCGUGUCGUGAGAUGUUGGGUUAAGUCCCGCAACGAGCGCAACCCCCUUUCUUAGUUGCUAACAGGUCAUGCUGAGAACUCUAAGGAUACUGCCUCCGUAAGGAGGAGGAAGGUGGGGACGACGUCAAGUCAUCAUGGCCCUUACGCCUAGGGCUACACACGUGCUACAAUGGGGUGCACAAAGAGAAGCAAUACUGCGAAGUGGAGCCAAUCUUCAAAACAUCUCUCAGUUCGGAUUGUAGGCUGCAACUCGCCUGCAUGAAGCUGGAAUCGCUAGUAAUCGCAAAUCAGCCAUGUUGCGGUGAAUACGUUCCCGGGUCUUGUACUCACCGCCCGUCACACCAUGGGAGUUGUGUUUGCCUUAAGUCAGGAUGCUAAACUAGCUACUGCCCACGGCACACACAGCGACUGGGGUGAAGUCGUAACAAGGUAACCGUAGGUGAACCUGCGGUUGGAUCACCUCCUUUCUAGA